rnacentral:lncRNA from 1 species
AAACAGCAGAGCUUUUCAGAAGAUAGUUCGGCGUCUGACUCAGCUUCCCUGAUAAACAGACACUGCCGGCCAGGAUUUUCCCAGCCCAAGAAGCCAAAACCUCAUUUCCGGGUGGAAGUUCAGCUCUGCCUUUGGAGCUGAGGGCCCAGCCAGCACCCCUUCUCCCUACUCUUCACUGCUGUCUCCUCAUGAUGAGAAUGCCAGCUCCGGCCACUCUGGCCCGGGCUCCGGCCUGCGGGGCAGCAGGACUGACACAAGCCCCUGGAAGCCGGGGGAAGGCUCGGUACCCCUCAAAGCUCUCCCAGCUGCACCCUGCCGGUGCUGCCCCUCAGGCUUCCUGAUCCCUGUCCUGUCCAUCAAGCAGGUGGGUCCCUGGUUGACAGCGCUUUGCACUCGAAGCAGGCCAGCCACUGGCAUGGCUCCGUCUCUACUAAGGGGCCCCUGCGCAGCUCUGGAGAGUACCCCCACACAUAUUUGGUGCCACAGAUACAACCUCCCUAGCUUAGCACAUUCUUUCUUUGGGCAGAGCACGUUGCAAUUGCUUAGAGAGUCACUUUCACACGUCCACUUAUAAUACCAGUCAUGUUGCUGCAAGGAUUGAAUGAGACGACACAGGAACAUGCUUUGUAAGCGCUGCUUCACCG